GAUACAAGACUCGACUACACACGAUUUUAAAAGAAACACAGGAAAACAGAAAGUAACAACUGAUAUAAUAUAAUCAAUCGUCAAAUUUCGAAACAAGACUCGAGUACAUACGAUUUUAAACGAAACACAGAAAAAAGAGAAAGUGACAACUGAUACAACAUAGAAAGAAAGGAUCCAUAAGCAAGAUCAAUGCUAUCUAUCUUAUUCUUAAUUCUCCUCAUGAAACCAAAUUCUGAUGAUCAGCUUUACUGAACUCUGCAUUGAUAAUGAACAAAACCAACAUUAAUAAUAAUAAUGAUGAUAACAAAAACAUAAUGUACUAACUAUAAUAGUAUUUUUUUUAUUAUAUAAUUACAUAUAUAAAUAUUUUGAAACUAAUAUUUCUUAACAGUAAAAUAUAAAUAAAAAAAUGCACUUAUUUUUUGAGAAAACCAAACACACUUGUAGGUGCUAGCACAUAUCAUUUUUUUGUUACUUUAUUUUUCAUACUACGAAGAGUUAGGUGUUGUUAUAGGUAAAAAAAGAUGAAAAAUUUAACAUACUUAGAGCAGUCAGUAGAGGGGCUGAUCUUGUAAGGGAUGUUGACACUACAAGUGUUAGGGAGAGCAGCAGCUUUGCCCAAAUUGAGUCCUGUAAAAGAAGAAGCAGCUGAUUUUAGGCAAGUGCAUGCGGCCUGUCGGUCUACUGUAGUCUUGGCUUGACCCAAAAGACCCUUAACACCAUCACAACAGUUUCUGAGAGGACCGCGGUUCAUUAGAUAAGGGAGACAAGGAGCCAAGGUAGAUGUAACUUGACCACAAGUUAAAGCCUCUGCAUGGGGUGCAACCACUACCAUGCAUAAAAGCACAAAGCAUGCAAUCUUGUUAACCAUUUCCAUUCUUAAUGAUUUAUGAAAAUUAGAAUAGUAAUUAUGAGGUUUAUGAGGAAGUAGUGGAUGAGAAGAAAUGUGUUUUGGUUGAGUGUUUUUAUAGAGGGAAAUUUGGAGUAGAUGGCCAAUGGAGGAGUGAGAGAGGUAGUUGGUUGUUAGGUUGAAAAUUUAAAGCAUUUUUAUGGUUGUACAUUAUUUUGCUGGCUCUAAAGUCAUGUGGUAGCUAGUUCUAACAUCUUACGUGUAGGAGUUUUUUUUUUCUCACCAAAGUUCCCAUAAAUAGAUUCCUCGAUCAAUGUAGGACUUUUACCUACUUUAAUAUCCCUUUUUUUACGUAGAUCCAAUUGAGAUGUGGAUCGAAAAUUCAAACAGGAAUGAAUAUAACUCUAAUAUCAUGUUAAGAUAUGUUUUUUAGAUCUAAUUUAAUAAUAAAUGCUAGCUUAUGAGAGGAGUAUUGUCCACAUCCUUAUAAGUAAAUCAUCAGUUUAUUUCCUGAUUAACGUGAGACUUUUACCUACUCUAACAGUUUGAUCGAAGAUUUUUUUUAAAAAAAAAUUAUGAAGUUAUAGAGUUAAAGAUGAAAUUGUAUUGGAUAAUACUUUUACGAAAGAAUAAAAAUGAUGUGAUUAUAGCUUUAAAAAUAAAAAAAAUAAUUAAGAUUUUAAAUACAACUUCAAGUUAAAUAUUUUACGACCAUAAAUUUAAAUUUGGGAAGUGACGAAGUUUAUUUUACUUCUGGCGUUCUUAGCUGGAUUACAACAACGUUUAAUUAAUCAAGGUCUUCAUUAGUGUUUAGACACUUAACCACCCAAGUCUUUAAUGCUUUUUCUACUUACCAGCUUUAUCUCUUAAAAAUUGAUACAAAAUGACUACGUAUUAUAUUUUAUAAAGUUGAAAAUGUGUUCCAUUUUCUUUUUCAAAAUUAUCCUUAACACGUUCCUUAUUAAAUGUAUACAUUUAGAAAUAAUCAUAUCAAUACACGAUCAAUAGUUAUAACGUAUACUUGUUUCUUAGUAUUUCUUAACCCUUUAAUCACCAAAGAUGACGGUGGUUUUAUAAAUAGGCAUUUCAUUAAUAUAGAUUUUGAGUUUAAAUCAUAUUAAUUAUAAAGUCAUAUUAGUCAUUUUUUUAUGGUACCAACACUACAAUUAAUUACCGCUACAAUAUGCAUUUUUAGCGGGAAUUUAACACUCUUUAUAUAUGUUUCUAAAGUCUUUAGCGACAUUGAUUUUAACGACAUUUAACUAAUGCAGGUAAAGACUUUAACACUCUUUGUUAAUGUCAGCAUUUAUUACCGUCAAAAGCUGUUUUUUGUGGUAGUGCAAUUUAGGAUAAAAAGUCUUACAUCGAUCAAAUACAUGAAAGAUACUUUUCGUUUUUUAAGAGUCAAACAAUUUAAGUUUGACUAGUAAUUUACACACGGAAUUUUCUUUUUAUUGAAAUGAAAUGUAUAUAUAUACUUAUAAACUACGUAAAAGUAUUAUAAGUCAUAAUUCAAAAUAUUUUUAAAAUGUAUAAAAAAUUUACGAUUAAAAUAGAUUUGUUUGAAUCUCGAUAUUCAAAAAGUGUCACAUAAAAUGAGACGAAUGGAAUAUAUAUAUAAUACGUUAGUGAUGCGUUAUAAAAUUAUAUGGGCUUAAAUCUAAAAUGGACAAUAUUACUAAUGACUUGAACCUUUAAAAAUGAUAUCUGUUCAACUCAUGUGUCAUCUUUAUUGAUAUAUAUGGACCAAAGCUCUACAUAUAGGCAAAAUCUCAUGUGGUGGAGUAAACCACUGCGUCUAUAUAAGAGGAGGUGCAUGUGAAACCCCAGAUAAAAAGUGUAACAUCAACAAAAUCAAUUGAUGAAAACAUAAAUUAUAUAAAUAAGCAAAUUUUACAUUUUAAUGACAUAUUUUAAAAUCGCGCAGACCUAGAUUUAACUAGAUUCAGGUAGGAAAAAAGAAACAGAACCUGACACUUUGACGUUUCUUAUAUGUUGCACAAAGUGUUGAUUGCUAAUUGGACCACGAAUUCAGCUAUAUUAUUACAUGCUUUCUCUUGGUCCAUGUAGUAUAAAUUUGUGUCGGUCCCAAUAUUAAUUUGGUAGAAGUUGAGUAAAGAUUUGAGCCACCCAAACUCAUUAAUUAGGCCAAACAAGAGGAAAUUUCUUUGAGACAUAUAGUCUUACCUAGAGGCCUAUAAUUUGGUGUAUAAUGUGGGGAUAUGUUUCACAUGUAUGAGUAUUAUAAAGUUUAUAUAAGUUUUAUAUAAAUGAUUUUCUUUAAGAUAAUAAAAUAAUAUUUACUGACCUUUCCAGAUUGGAUUAUUUUUUGACCUAUAAUUUUAGGUUGAUUUUCUCUGAGUUGUUUCAUAUAUCAAUUUUGACUAUUUGUUUAAAUAGUGUAUUAAUAAUACGAGGUUGUGUAUUGAUUGGUGUGGUUCGAUUUGAGAAUUUAUCAGUUUUAUUUAUUGAUUAUUGGUUUGUAAUCAUAUUUUAACCGUUAUUGAACAGUUAAAAUAUUAAUUUAUCGAUUAUUGGAUUAUUAGUUAGUGAUCGCUAUCGAUUUGAUUAUUGGAUUAACAGUUCAAACAAUUCCCAUUGAGAAUUACUAAUGGACUAAUCACUCAUUACAAUACGCAGUAGUCAGUAGUCACUAUGAACUUUCCCCGGUUAGUCUAUCUACAUAAAAUACUUAAUGAAACUCCAUAUUAAUUCAAAUAGAGAUGUCAAUAUUGCCCAAACUAGCAAAUUCAAAAGGAUUUCUCAUAACAACCAAGCCAAUUUUGAUAUGAACUAUAAAGAGAAACCAUUACGACACUGCUAACAAAAAUCAUUAAUGAUCAUGAGACUUACUAAUAAAAGCUUUUUCGUUUGCAAAUUCUAGCAUAGGGCGAUAUACAGACAUAUCUCAUUGACUCACUCACUGUAACUAGAAGAUAAAAACAAACACUUAAAGUAAGGGAACCAACCAUCUUAACCUCAAUUUUAGACACUUAGAAAAUGCUAUUCAGUAUAACUUUUUGGCGUGGGAGCAGUGACAGUGAAUUAAUGAGUGAUGUCGCAACUCUAAAAAUUCCUAAGGCCUUAAGUGAUAUAAAUGUAAGAUACUAAACUUGUUAUUAGGUUAUCACGACACUCAAUUAGAAAUAUGGCUAAACCGAAAUCCAAAUCGGUAAGACGAUGAAAAGUUUAUAAUAAAUUGAGAUUCGAACCGUUAAAUUAUUAAUCUGAAUCUUUGACCCAAUAAUAAAUAUCAAUCUCGAUUUGAUUUGAUCAGCUCUAUGGUGAUAUUUCAAAUAAAAAUCAUGAAGUUAAAUUAAAAAUUGUUGUUUUUUAAGUUGCCACCUAAUGCAUGGAAGAACUUGAUUAAAAAAGUGUCACGACCCAAAUCCGGGCCGCGACUGGCACCACACUUACCCUCCUAUGUGAGCGAACCAACCAAUCUAACCUUAACAUUUCAAUAUAAUAUCAACAGAAAGUAAUGCGGAAGACUUAAACUCAUUAAAUAAAGACCAAUUCAUUAACUUCUAAAAUUCAACAUCUAUUAUUCCCCAAAAUCUGGAAGUCAUCAUCACAAGAACAUCUACGAUCAAACGACUAAACUAAGAGUAUUCUAAAAGCUAAAAAUACAUAAGAAGCUAGUCCAUGCAGGAAGUUCAAGGCAUCAAGACUUGAAGAAGAAGAUCCAGUCCAAGCUAGAAGCAUUAGCUCACCCUGAAUUUCCGAUGUAGCAAGACUGACUUGAAUUACUGUUGAGUUGAAGACGAUGGCACGUUUGCUGCACUCCACAAAUAAACAAGAAGAGAACAUAAAAGUAGGGGUCAGUACAAAACACGGGUACUGAGUAGAUAUCAUCGGCCAACUCAAAAUAGAAAUCAAUAUAUACCAAGUAAUAUCAUAAAAUCAACUAUGAUACUCAACAUGUAGCAACAACAAAUACUAUAUCGUUAACAAUUACCGUCAAGUUCACACAUGAGGACUCAAGCCUCGAUACCAUACUCAUUUGGGAAUCAUGUUCAUUAGAUUGAGUAUAUUAACAUCUUUCAAGAUUCAUUAUCUUUAUUUCUCUGUGUCGGUACGUGACACUCCGCUCCCUCAAUAUUCAUUAAUCCUCUUGUGUCGGUACGUGACACUCCGAUCCCCUAAAUCUAUGUGUCGGUUCGUGACACCCGAUCCCCUAAAUCUAUGUGUCGGUUCGUGACACCCGAUCCCCUAAAUCUACGUGUCGGUUCGUGACACCCGAUCCCCUAUACUACGUGUCGGUUCAUGACACCCGAUCCCUAAAUCUAUGUGUCGGUUCGUGACACCCGAUCCCCUAAUUCUACGUGUCGGUUCGUGACACCCGAUCCCCUAAUACUACGUGUCGGUUCGUGACACCCGAUCCCCUAAUUCUACGUGUCAGUUCGUGACACCCGAUCCCGAGCCAUCCAAUGGUUCGUGCACACGACUCAUAAUCUCUAUGUCGGUUCGUGACACCCAUCCCCAAAUGUCUACGUGUCGUGUUUCGUGACACCCGAUCCCCUAAUCUAUACGUUGUCGGUUAUGACACCCUCCCUUCACGUGUCAGUUCGUGACACCCGAUCCUACUUAAUUCUACGUGUCGGUUCGUGACACCCGAUCCCUAAUCUCCUUCCAUCAAUUCAUCAAGCCUUCUUUCUCAAUUGUAUCUCAAAAAUGAGAAUUAAUUCUCAAUUGUGCUAAACGUGUAUUUUUAGCGGCAAUUGACACUCUUUGUAUCUGUCCCUUAAACUUUUAAACGACAUUGGUUCUAAUGAAACUUAACUAAUGUCGGUAAAGACUUUAACACUCUUUAUUAGGCCUCAUUUGUUUGCACUUAAUGGAGGUCUGAAUCUAAAUCAUUCAAAUUCAGCUUAUUAAGUACAUUUGGUUUUAGGUUUGAAUCUCAAUCAGCCCAUUAAGUUCAUUUGUUUUAUUUUUAAAAAGCCUCUUAAUGGGUCUGAAGAGGUCUGAAUGAAUCAGAUCUGUAGGAGACUCUUAACAACAUUCAGAUUUGUUUAAUAAGUUAUCAAAUAAUAAAUAUCGCUUCUCUACUUUAACCGUGCUUUUUAUCGCAUAACUAAAAACUUUGUUUUUCUCUUUUCUCAAUCAAACGUCAUUUUCCCCUUCUUGAACUGAUAAAUUUUCAUAAAUCUUUUCAAGUUUUUUUUUAUAUUAAUAAUUUUCUUGUAUUGACUGUGUCAAAAACAUUGUUGGUGUAUUAGCUAGCGUUUAUCAAGGUUUUUGAAUGAAAAAAAUUUCCAAAAUCAUGAUUAUUAAAACUUUUUAUUAUCAAAAGCGAUAUAUUUUGUUGAAAUGAAUUUUUAUUAUUUUUAUUAGUUUAAUGUUAAUUUCACAUGCACAUUCAGAUAUUGAAAACAAACAAUAUUAAUUAUUUAGUGUUCAGAUUUAGAGACCACAUCUUAAUAUUCAGAUGUGUAUUCAGAUCAAAGUACCUGAAUCUUAAUAUUCAGAUGUGUAUUCAGAUUCAGACCUCUUAGUCUGGCUGGAAACAAAUAAGGCCUUCCGCUAUUUUUGUUGUAGUGAGUGGUAAUUAAUUAAAAUUAUAGUUAUAUAAACUAAUUAGCUAGUAUAUGUUUGCUUAACUAUACUAUUUUCCCAAAUAAGUUUAUAUUAUCCAUCAUAAAAUAUAAAUAACCACACGUAUUAGAAUGUAUAAAAAUAAUGUACAAUAGAGUAUAUUAGUAACACUUAUAUAUUAGUAAUAUUUGUAUUAGUUAUGCUUGCAUUAGCUAUAUAUAACUUUUUAUUUAUGCAUUGUUUGGUUUGAUGUAUUAAAAAUAGUACGCAUUGUAUAAUUAUAUUUAUUUACAAAAUAGUCUCCACAAUUAUGACGGAAAAAACGUAAAAUGUUUUUAGGGUCAAUUGGGUCUUUAACCAUAUUAAUACACAUAAAAAUUAAGAAAUUGACGCGACUCCUUAAAAAGGGCAUGUAAUUACAGUGGGCGCGAAAUGGCGUGAGCAUAUGUGAUGAUUCCCCAACUCAAUGCGGAGGAGCUCGUAAAGUUUGCUGAGAAAGUUUUUUGUGUGCUUUGAGCGCAAGAUCCAUGGGUUACCACAUAUGAAAAAUUAAGGAAUUUCUGUAAUUCCUAAAAAAAGGGCCUGUGGGUGUGGAAAUGAGCAAGAAAAUAAUAGCAUGAGCAUACGUGAUAGGUCCCAACUCAUGAAUUUGGAGGUCCUCAUAAAAAAUUUUCAAAUUUUUUUUGCGUGCUCAUGGCUAAAGAUCUAUGGAUAAUACAAAUAGAAAAUUGUGGAAUUUAAGCUAUUUCAAAAAUGGGCCUGAAGAUGCGGAUAUGAGUGAGAAAAAAAUGGUGUGAUCAUGCGCGAUGGUUCCCAACUCAAUAUAGAGGUCAUCCUACAAUUUUCUUAGAAAUUUUUUGAGUGCUCCAAGCGCCAAAUCUAUGAGCUAAUACAUAUAAAAAAAUUGAAGAAUUCACGCGAUUCACAAAAAUGACAUAUGGAUGCGAAAAUGUGCGCGAAAAAAAUGGUGUGAGCAUACAUGAUGGUUCUGCAACUCAAUACGGUGGUCCUCAUAAAGUUCUUUCAGAAACAUCUUUUGGGUGCUCCAAAAGUCAGACCCAUAGGCUAAUACACACAAAAAUUGAAGUAUUUGCGUGAUUUCAGAAAAGGCAUGUAUAUGCAAAAAUGGGAGAAGAAAAUGGUGUGAAUAUAUAUACGUGAUGGUUCCCAACUCCAUACGGAGAUCCAUAUAAAGUUUUUUGAGAAAAUAAUUUUUGGUGCUCCGAAUAUAUCGUCUGUAUGGUUGCUACGGAGCAUCUGAUUUGUAUAGAUCGACAUAUCAUUUGUAUUAAAGCGCAAUGAUUGUAUAUAUAUAACUAUAACAGAGGAGGAGGAGGGACUAGGGAAGAGGAGGAGGAGGAGGAGGAAGUUGUCUCAAUGUAUUUGAUAAAAUAGUUUUUGUGAUAAGAGGCGGACCCACCCUUUUAGGUAGGGUGCACGUGCACUUGUUAAUUUCGGUAAAUAAAAUCAUGAGUUUGUGAGUGUAUGUGUGUGUAUUGAUAUAUAUUGAAAAAUUGAGAGAAAUUAGAAUAUAAUUAACGUACUCAUCAUAAAAAGCAUAAGUAUAUAUGUUAUUGUGCUGCCGGUACAAGCUAAAGUAUGCACAUGCAAGACUUGAAUUUGAAUCUAGCUAGAGUGUUGUUUCACUUUUUUUUAUGUUAAGCUUAUCAUAGAGGCUAAAGCUUAUAUUUGAGCUAAGGUAAUAUUGGUGCACCAACUUCAAAUUCCGAUUCGCCUUUUGCAGCAUUAGUUAUUUUUAGCCAAUACGAUAACUAAAAUGGAUCGGAGGGAAUAUCAUGAUUUGAAUAAAGGAUCUAACCAGAGUCAAAUUUAAAAUAUAUUGAUGAAAUUUCUAAAAUUCCAACGUUAUAUCAUCCUUUUCUUAAGAAUUACCAAAUCAUAAUUAGAGUUGAGAAAAAUUUAAAGCAGAAAAUAACAUGUAUUACUAUAUGAAGAUUGGGUUGUAACAUAAGCAACCACCAAUGUUCAUUACAAGACUCGACAAUAUAUAAGUACUCCAAAUUACAAAAGAAAAGAGACAACAUAUAUAUAUAUAUAUAUAUAUAUAUAUAUAUAAUGAUGGAUCAAACUCGAUAGAUAAAUCCAUCUUAUUCUUCAUCUCCACAAGCCAGAUUUAGCUUUCAUCAACCUUACUGGACCCUGCAAUGCAAUAUUAAAUCAACAUUAAAUAUAUAGUAUGCGCGUACACACAUAUAUAUAUCGUUUUGUAACAUAUAAGUUUAAUCAAUAGUCAGACAUAUAUAAAUUACAAAUAAAAGAGAUAUUAUACUGUCAAUUGAAUAAGUAUAAUCACCGUACGUUGAGCAAUCAGUGGAAGGGCUGAUCUUGUAAGGAAUGUUGACUCCACAAACUCCAGGGAGCCCAGCGGCUUUUCCUGUAUCAAUGCCCUUAAUAGAAUUAGCUGCCGAUUUAAGGCAAGUGCACGCUGUCUUCCGGUCUUCUGGGGUCUUGGCUGCGCCCAAUAGACCCUUAACACCACCACAACACCCUCCUAGAGGGCCGCGACCCUCGAGAUAAGGGAGACAAGGAGCCAAGCCAGACGUAACCUCGCCGCAGCUCAGUGACUCUGCAUGGGGUGCAACCACCACCAUGCAAAAAACCACAAAGCAUGCAAUUUUUCCAAACAUUUCCAUUCUUAUAAAAAAAUUGAGUAAAGAUUAUAGAUAUAGUAGUACAAUUGUAUUUGUUUUGUGUGUUAGGUGUAAAAGCUAGUGAGUAUUUAUAGAGAGGAAAUUAGUGGAAUUAAAAAUGAGAGAAUUAGUUGGGAGUUAAGAGUUAAAUGAAAUGAGUAUAAAGUCAAAUUUCGUUUGUUACGUGACUAAUUUUUAUUGAACCACGCUAUACACGAUUUAAGGCCCAAUCCACAAAUUGUCCCAAUACUACUUUUCCUGUUACAGUGACGAAGUCAGAAAAUUUAAUUUAUCGUAAUCUUUUUCUUAAAAUAAUGUGUGUUCGAUGGCUCUACUCAUGCUUUGAAUCAUUUUAUUUUUUAUUCUUUAUGGUAUAAAGUAAAUGUUUUUUUUUUAGAAAAAAAAAAAAUACAAGGAGAAGAGUGGUUAUUAAAUAAAGAAGAGUAAUAAAUAAGGAGAAGGGUGGGAUGUAAAAAAGUCAUAAUACAUGAAAUUGAUUAAACAAUGUCUCGAGUACAAACUAAGGAGACAGAGUACCUUACUGUUAGAUGUGGAAAUAUUAUGGUACAUGAGUUAAUUUUGAAACAAAUGACCCAUUAAUUUCUUUUAAAAAUUGGAUUUAAGGUGUAAUGUUUAUUUAUUUAAAUAAAUCAAUUUGCUUUCAUGACUUUUUUUUUUUAAAAAUGAGUUUAAGGUGUAAAGUUUAUUACUUAAUUAUAAAUGAUUAAAUAUUUUUUGUAUGUUCAAUACAAAUGCUUGUUUCCGGUCAAAAAGAUCAUGAAAAAAGUAUACAAAAUAAUUAAACCUAUAGCAAAAUUAUAAUUAUGUGUUAUAGUUAUAAGUUGCAUAAUUUGCUCACCAUAGCGAAUAUGCUAUGGCUAUUUCGCUACAUAUAUAUAUAUAAAAGAAUUUAAGAUAUAUAUAUUUAUAUAUAUAUAUAUAUGUGUGUGUGUGUUAUAGUUAUAAGUUGCAUAAUUUGCUCACCAUAGCGAAUAUGCUAUGGCUAUUUCGCUACAUAUAUAUACAAAAGAAUUUAAGAUAUAUAUAUAUUUAUAUAUAUAUAUAUAAUAAUAUAUAUUUGCAUAAAUUAUUGUCCGUCUCUCGUGGCUGCCUUUCAAUUCAAUUUAUGUGUUUGUAUAUCUGUAUAUAAUUUGAAUUUGUAUACAAUUUAAUCGAAAUAAAAAUGUUGGUAAUCAAUCAAAAAUUGCUCUCUGUUAUACAUUGUAUUUUAUAUAAUCUAUACUUCUAUAAAGCGAGAAAGAGAAAGACAAAAGAGACCUAAGCAUGAGAAUAUUUGGAUUGUAUAAUUAUAAGUGUAUAGAACAAAAAUAUUUGUAUUUGCAUGUGUACAUACAUUUUCUUCCGCUUUGUACAAACAGAAACACAUUCAAAUAUUAUAAUCGUUAAAGUCAAAGUUACAACGGAAAAUGAAACUAACAAGAAAAUCGUAAAACGAUAAUGAACUAGUAAAACAAAGAAACCAUUGAAGAAGAGACUACUAGAAGGGAGAUGAGAAACACAGACUCAAAAAAAGGAAUGAGAGGACUAGACACUUUUCUACAAUAAUUUACGUAAUCCCUAAAUCACGUAUUACUUAUAUUGAAAGUUCGAACCGUUUUAUACCCACUACUCAAUUCGAAUCCCAAAUUAACCUGGUCCUAUAUUUUUAGCCCAAUAACAACUUAUAUGACAUUAAUAUCUAUAUUUGGUUAAACUUGAUUCAUAACAUAUUGCUCCUACCCAUAUUUUUAUUUUGUUGUGAAUUGAUAUUAAUUACUUUAUAAGCUAUUUUUAAAAAGGAAUAUGUUUAUUAUAAAAUGACAUUACAAACUUAAAAUAAUUUGUCAAAAAAAUUUAAAAAUUUGAGGCACACUAGAUGUGUACCGUGUUGUGAUAGAUGGGUUGUGUAGAGAGAGGAGAUUUACGAAAGCACAAAAUUGUUUGAUAACAUACUUUUUAAUUUGCUUUUAUAAUCCUCUUUUUUUAGAAAUAUUUUAUUUUUAGUUUUUAGGUAACAUGUUUAAGGUCAUAAUAAGACUAAAUGUCGUUUUGAUAUAUUUGACAUAACUUCAAUUUAGGAUCACAAGAUUAAAUUAUCUUUUUAAACUUUGUAUCAAGUUAAAUUAGAUUGUUAUUUUUUUGAAAUGAGAGAAAAUGAUCAAAUGACCCCUUAACGACGUAUAACCGGAUUUUCAACUAUACACUUAAAUUUUAUGGGAGUCCUAUCACCCUCUGAACUAUUUAAAAAUGAAAUAAUUAUACCGUUAAAAAGCCAUAACCACCAAAUCUAUGGUGGAAUGUGAGUUUCACCACAUCAUCAAAUUAUUAUUUUUUUAAUUCUUUUCUUAUAUAUUCUUACCUAUCUCUUGAAAUACUGAAGAUAUUUUCACCAUUUUCACCAUUACUAGAACACCACGAGUCCAUUAAAAUUGGGUCUUUAAGGAAUAAUAAUAAUUUCAGAGCUCGUUCAAAGAUAUUUGGAUUUUGCUCAUUUGAAACCUAAAAAUCAAAUUAGAAAAAGUUGAAGGGGGAAGAGAAGACGAAUAUGAUGGAAUAUUGCCAUUAAUGGUGGUCACCGAAGAUAAGAAAUCCUCUCAAGAAAGAUGAGGAAGAGGAGCCUACCAUGUCUUCCACAUUGUCAUCUAUAGCGACGACAAUUUCAAAAAAGAAGACACCGAUUAUACGACAAUUGAUGGACUAACUAGAUUAAUAGCUAGAAUUUUUGAGAUAUAGUUGAUUAAUUGAGAUUUGAUAUUAGUAAUUAAAGGAUAUAUUAGAAAAAAUUAUUUUUUUCUGGUUGGCCCAAUCAGAUUCAAAGUAAACUCAUAUUAAUUUUUCUCAAAUCAGAUCCAAAGCAUCUUGGGGUGAUAUAAAUAUAUGUCAUCAAUUGAUUUAGGUUGAUUGAUUUUGCAAGAGCUUUAUAAAUGUUUGAAAAUUUGUUUGGAGUCGACGAAAGUGAAGAUGGUGGCUGUAAGACUUAGGUGAUUGAGAGAUUUGUUUAUAUUGAUGGACAAGAAAGAAAACAAACAAAUAAUUAAAAAUGCAUAUAUUUGUUGAAAAAAGAUAUUCCAUCUGUUUCACAAAAAAUGAUUUGGUUUGACUUGACAUGAAGUUUAAGUAAAUAAAGAAGACUUUUGAAUCUUGUGGUCGUAAAUCAAAGUUAUGUCAAAUGUACAAAAUUAUCUUUUAAUUUUAUGGUCUUAAAUAUGGCACGUGGAAAGCUAAAGUUAAAAUGUUAGAGGUCAUUCUUUUGGAAAUAAACUAAAAUGGAAAGAAUGUCACUCUUUUUUAAAUAAAAAAGAGUUUAACUACUAUCCACCGACGGUGGACAAAAAAUUACACGGGCAUAUUAUUUUUGGAAAUAUUUAAUUUUUUAAUUAAUAUAUUUUAAUAUUAUAAUAUUAAAAUAAAAAUAAUAACAGAGUGUUAUAUGGUAACUUGAAUUAUAAAUUAAUUGUACAAAUUUAAUUAGGAUUCUUAUUUGUCUUACCAAAACAAAAAAUACAUAAUUUCUUGUGUUUUCUUAUUGGAAAGCACUUCAAUCCUUCAAAGAAAAUCAUUGCCAACAUAUUUUUUUUUAUAAGAACCGGUACUUGUUGCCAUUGAAGCAAUGCUAGCAAAAUAUUAAUAAGAAACUAUUCCAGAAACAUAAAGUGCAACAAAAUCAACAUAUUCAAACUUAUAAGAGUAAGCAAAACAAAAUCAAACACUAUUAAAUACGGCCCAUGAUUUAAUCACAAUUGCAUGCUUGGUUACAUUUUUUUAAACGAAAUCCUUCUUUUGAACAAACAAACUCUUGACCAAUAAUGGAUUUAUCUUUUCUUGAUCUACUAAUUCGAUUUUUGCGCACACUAAAACCAUUACGAUGAGCAUAAUCAAGAUAAAAUUUAAAUCUAGUAUCAAGUGAUUGAAAUUCCAUACCGAUGUAAGACUCUCUUAAUUCUUGCUCACCUAGUUGAGGAACAAAAGAUACAACUGCAUUCAUGUUGCUUUCUAUAUCCUCCAAGGAAUCUUCAAUUCCUUCUGCAUUUUGCUCUUCUAAAUUAGAGAUUUCAAAAGUUUCCUGCAAUACACAAUUAUUAGAUAUUAGACUAAUAGGGUAAGUUAGCUUUAAAAUUUUAAAUAUUUUUCAUGGCUAAUGUAUUGAACUUCUUCAAUUUGCUAAAAAGUUCUUAAACGUAUUCUUUAAAUAUCUUCAUCACUACAAAACAUAAAUUUCUUCAUACAUUAAAACAAGAAUAUUUCUUUGAAACGUUUAUUCAUGUUGCGAAAAAGAUUUAAUAAGUUAUGUAAAAAAAGAUAUACGAGGAAAACGCUACCAUGAUAAUUGUUUCAAAUUGCUUCAAUGGUGGAUAGUUGGUUGCUUCAAUGGUUUAUGUAGAAAAAGAAGAACGUUAAUCCAACUAAGAAAACACAAGAAAUUAUGUAUUUUUUAUUUUUGGUAAGACAAAUAAGAAUCCUAAUUAAAUUUGUACAAUUAAUUUAUAAUUCAAGUUACCAUAUAACACUAUGUUAUUAUUUUUAUUUUAAUAUUAAUAAUAUUAAAAUAUAUUAAUUAAAAAAAUUAAAUAUUUCCAAAAAUAAAAUGUCCGUGUAAUUUUUUGUCCACCGUCGGUGGAUAGCAGUUAAACUCUAAAGAUCAAAUAAAGUUUUAAUAACAGAUUUUGGUGCUCACUCUCCAGAGAGAGUCAAAUACAUUUAGGGAACUAAUUAUUUCAAUUUUGAAUAGUACAAGGGAUGAUUAGACCCCCGUGAAAUUUAAUUGUAUAGCGUUGAGGGCAUUUAAUCAUUUUCUCUUUGAAACAGAGAAUAUAUAUCAUUACGGAUCUAAUCUCCAAAAGAUGAAGAGUGAGUAAACCCUGAAUAAUUUGCGACAUUUAAUACGUUGUUUACUUUAAUUAAUGGACUUAUAAUAAUAAGUUGGAAAGGACCGAAAAAGUUUAAUAUAUAUUGCAUGGUGAAUUUGUACCUUCAUGAAUUUAUUUAAAAGUAUACUUUUUAUAGGCAUUUGUGAUGGUGAUGAUGUUAUAAGUAUAUUUCUCAAUAAUUAGCAUUAUACGUGUAAGAAGUGGUUAGAAAAAGGAGGUACCUAGAUGAAUGAGCACACAAUAGCGUAUACUAUAUUACUCGAAUUUGAUAUAUAUGUGUAAUGCAUAUUAAAAGAACCCUAGUAAAAGUAGACCAAAAAUAUUGAAUAGACGAGAGAGUACAUAUACCAAAUAAGAUAGAUGUGUAUUAUCAAAGAUUAGAUUAAUACAACAUAGCCAAUCGUGAAAUUUCGAUACAAGACUCGACUACACACGAUUUUAAAAGAAACACAGGAAAACAGAAAGUAACAACUGAUAUAAUAUAAUCAAUCGUCAAAUUUCGAAACAAGACUCGAGUACAUACGAUUUUAAACGAAACACAGAAAAAAGAGAAAGUGACAACUGAUACAACAUAGAAAGAAAGGAUCCAUAAGCAAGAUCAAUGCUAUCUAUCUUAUUCUUAAUUCUCCUCAUGAAACCAAAUUCUGAUGAUCAGCUUUACUGAACUCUGC
rnacentral:lncRNA from 1 species